GCUGGGCGUGGUGGGGGGCACCUGUAAUCCCAGCUACUUGGGAGGCUGAGGCAGGAGAAUCACUUGAACCCAUGAGGCAGAGGUUGCAGUGAGGGGAGAUUACGCCACUGCACUCCAUUCCGGGUGACAAUGCAAGACUCCAUCAAAAAAAAUAUAAAUAAAUAAAAUAAAUAAAUAUUAAUAAUAAUUUUAAACAAUUAAAAACUAUGGGUUUUUUUUGAGAUGGAGUCUCGCUCUGUCACCCAGGCUGGAGUGCAGUGGCAUGAUCUCGGCUCACUGCAACCUCCGCCUCCUGGGUUCAAGUGAUUCUUCUGCCUCA
rnacentral:sRNA from 1 species